rnacentral:misc_RNA from 1 species
GUGAAUCAUCAAAUCUUUGAACGCAAAUUGCACUUUCUGGUAUUCCGGUAAGUGUUCCUGUUUGAGGGUAAGUUAAAUAGACAUCGGUGUUGUUGCUGCUUUUCGUGGGGACGAGUCGGAAUUGAGUUGACUUACUUUCGGUUAAGUGACUUAAAAUUUUGCAUGUUUUUCGAACGUAUUUAAAUUUCUUACGUACGUUUGAGAUUUUGAAUAUUUUAUUUUGUUCGGUAAUCGUCAUGAUUCGCACCUA